rnacentral:rRNA from 1 species
AUUGAACGCUGGCGGCAGGCCUAACACAUGCAAGUCGAGCGGAUGAAGGGAGCUUGCUCCUGGAUUCAGCGGCGGACGGGUGAGUAAUGCCUAGGAAUCUGCCUGGUAGUGGGGGAUAACGUCCGGAAACGGGCGCUAAUACCGCAUACGUCCUGAGGGAGAAAGUGGGGGAGCUUCGGACCUCACGCUAUCAGAUGAGCCUAGGUCGGAUUAGCUAGUUGGUGGGGUAAAGGCCUACCAAGGCGACGAUCCGUAACUGGUCCGAGAGGAUGAGCAGUCACCCUGUCACUGAGACUCGGCCGCCACACCUACGGUGGGCCGCGGUGCGGAAUAUUACACGAGGGGGCAGUGCCUGAUCCUGCCCUGCCGGCUGUGUGCUGAAGGACCUCUGACUCUUGAGUGAUGUAAGUUGUGGGGUAGUACAGCACGUUUAUCCCGUGCUGUUUUGACGUUACCGACAGAAUAAGCACCGGCUAACUCCGUG